CUUGCAGCCAAUAAGAGGUCCAGCCUGCCCAGUGACUCUGUUCAACGGCCGCGGUAUCCUAACCGUGCAAAGGUAGCGCAAUCAUUUGUCCUUUAAAUAAGGACUAGUAUGAACGGCACCACGAAAGCUAUACUGUCUCCUUCCCCUAAUCAGUGAAACUAAUCCCCCCGUGAAGAAGCGGGGAUAACCUUAUAAGACGAGAAGACCCUAUGGAGCUUUAAACGCACAACAAUUGUCACGGACCCCUCCCCACCCCCCCUGGAAGAAACAACUUACCCGAACAUUUUGAUUGCAAGUUUUAGGUUGGGGUGACCGCGGAGCAAAAAAUAACCUCCAUAGUGAAUGGGAUUCUUUCCCUUAAACCCAGGGCCACAACCCCAAGGAUCAAUAAAUUGACACUCAUUGACCCAAUAUUUUUGACCAACGAAC
rnacentral:rRNA from 1 species